rnacentral:rRNA from 1 species
GUGAGGAAUAUUGCGCAAUGGAGGCAACUCUGACGCAGCCAUGCCGCGUGCAGGAAGAAGGCGCUACGCGUUGUAAACUGCUUUUAACCGGGAAGAAACCCCAGGACGUGUCCUGGGUUGACGGUACCGGAGGAAUAAGCACCGGCUAACUUCGUGCCAGCAGCCGCGGUAAUACGAAGGGUGCAAGCGUUAUCCGGAUUCAUUGGGUUUAAAGGGUGCGUAGGCGGAGCGUUAAGUCAGUGGUGAAAUCCUGCAGCUUAACUGUAGACUUGCCAUUGAUACUGGAGCUCUUGAGUGCGCUUGAAGUGGGCGGAAUGUGCCGUGUAGCGGUGAAAUGCUUAGAUAUGGCACAGAACACCAAUUGCGAAGGCAGCUCACUAAGGCGAUACUGACGCUGAGGCACGAAAGCGUGGGGAUCGAACAGGAUUAGAAACCCGAGUAGUCC